rnacentral:rRNA from 1 species
UACGGAGGAUCCAAGCGUUAUCCGGAUUUAUUGGGUUUAAAGGGUGCGUAGGCGGCCUGUUAAGUCAGGGGUGAAAGCCGGUAGCUCAACUAUCGCAGUGCCCUUGAUACUGAUGGGCUUGAAUAAACUAGAGGUAGGCGGAGUGUGACAAGUAGCGGUGAAAUGCAUAGAUAUGUGACGGAACACCGAUUGCGAAGGCAGCUUACCAGGGUUUGAUUGACGCUGAGGCACGAAAGCGUGGGGAGCAAACAGG